UACGGCAGCUAGCUCUCUGCAACUCUCACAUGGUCACUCACUGAAACUAAGCAGGGCUGCACCUACUCAGUACCUGGAGGGGAGACCACAUUGGAAAGCUAGGUUGCUGCCGGAA
ensembl:rRNA 5S_rRNA 5S ribosomal RNA